GGGGAUAUAGCUCAGUCGAUAGAGUGCUUGCCUCACAUGCAUAAGGCCCUGGGUUCAAUCCCCAGCACCACCA
rnacentral:tRNA from 1 species